GCUCAGCCAAGGCAGAUAGCUCAGCCUGUAAAAGCAUGAGACUCUUAACCUCAGGGUCGUGGGUUCAAGCCCCAUGCUGGGCA